GUCUGCUUGUCCCUCUCCCUCUCCUCCUCCACUCCACUCUCUCUCUUUCCUCUCAAAUUAAAAAAAAAAAAAAAAGCCAAGGGAAAAAAGGAAGAACAAAGUUCAAGAAGGAGGAACAUACAGAGUCCUAGACCACACAGAAACGGCAGGAUUCUAUCAUGGGCAAGAGAGUACAGUGUUUGGCGUUUCCUUGAAAGAAGGACAUUCUGUGCAGGGAGAGGAAGUGAGGUAGAAGAAAAAGAUUAAGCUAUGGAGAUCGUUGGGAUUCAUCCCACUGGGUGGCAGCUAGAGCCACAGGAGGAUGCUUUCGCUCAGGGAGAGUGCGGAAAGCUGCAGAGCUGGGGAACACCCACAGGAGCUGAGGGGUGAACGCAGAGGGCACAGGAAGGAAGGCGUCUGAGAGAAGAACAAGUGCAGAAAGCAUCCAGGAGAAAGAACAAAUUAACCUUCAAAGGAACGAAAAUCAGAUUGUCAUCAGACAUCUCAUUGGCAACCCUGAUACAAGAAAAGGGUGGAGCAAAACCUGCCGAUGGCAAAGAAAAUGGCAAGACUACUUGUUAUCCCUAGCAUCUGUUCCCCCAGAGGAUGGCCAGCAAAUGGACAGUUGCUGCAGCAUCCUCCCUUGAAGCUAAGUGUGUCCAUGUGACCUAAGUUCCAGCUGUCCCUUUCCUUCUUUGCACCUUCUUUCAUCCAUCCUGCCUCCUGGAAAGCCAAUAUGAGGCCAUCGUCUUGGACCAUGAGGACAAGAACCACAUCUUACAUGUGUCAGAGUAGAAAACUGUGAGGAGCCUAGUCCCCAGAAGUCUUUUACAUGAGAAUAAAAUAAACUUCAACUUGUCUGA